rnacentral:pre_miRNA from 9 species
UCUCGAUAGCGUAAAAGUUAACUCAAAUUUGUGUGGAGUUGGAACGUCUGCCUACCUUUGCCGCUAGGAGCGCUGUUCCAACUACAUACAUACAGAUUUGAGUUAACUUUUACGCUUUCGA